rnacentral:rRNA from 1 species
CCUACGGGGGGCAGCAGUGGGGAAUAUUGGACAAUGGGGGGAACCCUGAUCCAGCCAUGCCGCGUGUGUGAAGAAGGCCCUCGGGUUGUAAAGCACUUUCAGUGAGGAAGAACGCCUGGUGGUUAAUACCCAUCAGGAAAGACAACACUCACAGAAGAAGCACCGGCUAACUCCGUGCCAGCAGCCGCGGUAAUACGGAGGGUGCGAGCGUUAAUCGGAAUUACUGGGCGUAAAGCGCGCGUAGGUGGCUUGAUAAGCCGGUUGUGAAAGCCCCGGGCUCAACCUGGGAACGGCAUCCGGAACUGUCAAGCUAGAGUGCAGGAGAGGAAGGUAGAAUUCCCGGUGUAGCGGUGAAAUGCGUAGAGAUCGGGAGGAAUACCAGUGGCGAAGGCGGCCUUCUGGACUGACACUGACACUGAGGUGCGAAAGCGUGGGUAGCAAACAGGAUUAGAUACCCGAGUAGUC